CGUCGAUGAUGAUUAAUUUCAAGGCUUGUUUCUCAAAAACAUUCGCAGUUGCCGCCUGAGAACUUUCGCCUUCGCCGGGCUUGAGAGCUUAUGCUGCUUCGAUCCUUCCUUGGAUGUCUGAGACU